GCUUCAUGUCAGAGUCUCUAAACUCCAGAAGAAGUCGAUAAAAGUCCCUUUCUUUCUAAAAAAAGUCGUUAGGGGGUCUGAAAAGUAAUUGAAUCUAACAACAAAGUCGCUAGGUUUGCAACUACGUGUCCCAGACUGCAUCCCUGCUGAGAGUCCCUCCCUCCCUUCUCAUGUUGCAGGAAGAACGUAAGCGCCCGCCCCUUGUCAUUCAGUCACCAUAUAAUUUUGGAUUGGUUGUUGUGGUGAAGUUUUCCACCAAUAGGAGAGAUGUUGUGGUGUGUUUUUUUUUUCUUUUAGCAAGCCUUUUCCGCCUGUAAGACCUGUCGCUAAUGUGUGCAUGCUAUGUUUUCCUGUCUCAUACAGCGCGAUCGAGCGCCGAACGUGAUCAAAAUAAGCAGAAAAAAAGUAUCGCGGACAUAAUUUAUCAUAACUCUGGUUUUAUUUGGCCUAUCAACACAAUUUAAAAACUGGUAUAUAGGUUGAGGUCCUCACUUUUGAGAUAAGUUGAAACGGAGAGUUAACGAGGCUCCGUCUUGCAGCUACAUCCGGUUAAAUAUGUCAUGUGACUUGAACGCUGGGGAGCGUCAAUCGAAUCGAAUCAAACCUAACUCUCAGAUGAAUCUUCAAAAUUCACCUCAGAAAUAUGCUUAUUAUUCUUCUCAGAGUACUGCAGGAUACACACACACACACACACACAGACACACACACACACACACACGCACACACACACACACACACACACUCAAAGUCUGUUUUUUAGCACCUGCAAAAACAUGCUAUUUACAUAUUUGACAAGAAUGCAGAGGCUUCCUUUUGCCCCUGAAAAAAAUCAAAUUUCAAACACAACUUGACUGCUCAUUUCUCCAAAAGACAACCAUGAAGCUCCAUCCAAACCUGAAGCAGGCAGUUGGUGCAUGUGUACAGUAACCUGAGGGGAGUGAGGUGACUGCUUCUGAGGAGAACAUGAGCAGUGAAGAUUCACCUUGGAGCUAGAACAGGGACGUGCACAUGAUAAUACAGGGGCAGGGGCUCAAGUUUUUUCCAGUCGUUUAUACAAUAUGGAAAUUAAUGUGAAAUUAAAAAACAAAGUAUGACUGUCCUGUGUAGGUGACAGUGAUAUCCAAUAGGCUAGGCACUCACGAGGCUGGCUGUGGCAAGUGUAAGUGAAAGCAACACGCACUGGCAGGAAGAACAGCAAACGCCGAUGAAGGAAAAGGGUCUUUGCUGUGAUGGGCGUUACCAGAGAGGGCGAUGGCCAGAGGACACGAAUGGGACGGGGAGGCAGCGCGUUGGGGGUGGGGGGUGCGACACGGCUCGGGCCCGCCAGUGCCCCAACGGGGCCCUAGUUUCUUUUUCCUCCCCUUUGAACUGGAAAAUGGCCCACUUCCCACUGGCGAAAACUCAUGAAAUUUGGCAGGACGACCGGGCCUGGUGAAAAAUUUGAUAUUCCGAAGUCGCCCAAACAAUAAAAUGCAAAAUGGCUCCAUAGCGCCCCCUAAGGAGAAAAUUCACAUGACGGCUGUACGCUUUGUCAUAUUGACACAAAAAUUGACACACACAUGUAUCUCAAUAAGAUCUACAAAAAAGUCAGUGCGGGCGUAUCUGUCAAAUGUACGGUUAAUGGGUUAUUUUGCAUUUUUUGCAGAUCUGCACACAUUGGAAUUUCGCUAACUCCUCCGAAGGCUUUCGUUCCACCGGCACCACAUUUGCUCAGGCCAAUCUACACCCCAUGGCCAUUAAAAGUUAUUCAAAUCAUGACGCUGCACCCCACGGUUUAGGUUCUAGGGGGCGCCAAAAAUAACCCUAAAAUCCAUAUAUUUAAAAGUCUUAUAACUUUUUAUUUUUGUCCUCACUGGCCUCCAAGUUUUCUAGGAUGAUGCAAUGUCCAGCCAUCAACACAUCUGUGAAGGAAUUUUUACUCCCCAAAAGAGCGCCCCCCAUGGCAGGAGAAAAAAGUCCAUUUUUUCUUGACCCCUAAGGUGAAAAUACACAUUGUUGAGUGUCACGCCUUUACGCUUUGGCAAAAUGACACAAAAAUUGACACACACAUGUAUCUCAAUAAGAUCUACAAAAAAGUCUAUGAGCGCGUAUCUGUCAAAUGUACGGUUAAAGGGUUAUUCCGCAUUUUUUGCCGAUACGCACACAUUGGAAUUUCGCUAACUCCUCCGAAGGCUUUCGUUCCACCGGCACCACAUUUGCUCAGGCCAAUCUACACCCCAUGGCCAUUAAAAGUUAUUCAAAUCAUGACGCUGCACCCCACGGUUUAGGUUCUAGGGGGCGCCAAAAAUAACCCAAAAAUCCACAUUCUUAAAUGUUUUAUAACUUUUUUUUUUGUCCUCACUGGCCUCCAAGUUUUCUAGGAUGAUGCAAUGUCCAGCCAUCAACACAUUUGUGAAGGAAUUUUUACUCCCCAAAAGAGCGCCCCCCAUGGUAGGAGAAAAAAGUCAAUUUUUUCUUGUCCCCUUACAUGAAAAUACACAUUGUUGAGUGUCACGCCUGAACGCUUAGUCAUAUUGACACAAAAAUUGACAAUCAUGUGUAUGUCAAUUAGAUCUACGAAAAAGUCAAAGAGCGCGUAUCUGUAUAAUGUACGGUUAAAGGGCUAUUUUGCAUUUUUUGCCGAUUCGCACACAUUGGAAUGUGGCUAUCUCCUCCUAAGGCUUUCGUCCCACCGAUACCAAAUUUGCUCAGGGCAAUCUACACCCCAUGCCCAUUCAAAGUUGUAAAAAUCAUGGCGCUGCACCCCACGGUUUACGUUCUAGGGGGCGCCAAAGAUGACCCAAAAAUCCACAUUCUUAAAAGUCAUUUUGGCCACUGCAGGAGUACAGAGUACUGCAGUUCUAGGGGGCGCCAAAGAUGACCCAAAAAUCCACAUUCUUAAAAGUCUUUUUGGCCACUGCAGGAGUACAGAGUACUGCAGGAUACACACACAUAUACACACACGCCAACAUACACACACACACACACACACACACACACACACACACACACACUCAGAGUCUGUUUUUUAGCACCUGCAAAAACAUGCUGUUUACAUAUUUGACAAGAAUGCAGAGGCUUCCUUUUGCCCCUGAAAAAAAUCAAAUUUCAAACACAACUUGACUGUUAAUUUCUCCAAAAGACAACCAUGAAGCUCCAUCCAAACCUGAAGCAGAUAGUUGGUGCAUGUGUACAGUAACCUGAGGGGAGUGAGGUGACUAUUUCUGAGGAGAACAUGAGCAGUGAAGAUUCACCUUGGAGCUAGAACAGGGACGUGCACAUGAUUAUACAGGGGCAGGGGCUCAAGUUUUUUCCAGUCAUUUAUACAAUAUGGAAAUUAAUGUGAAAUUAAACCACAAAUAUGUGUGAUGAACUGUUUUUAAAACUUAAACUUCAAAUAAAAAUUGUAAACUUCAAAACAUAUGCAAAUUUUUAACAAAGAACAUAGUAAUUUACCUCUAUUUACAUCAAAAUGCAGGCAAUGGCCCAGGCGUUCUUUGUAAAAUUAUUUACAAAACACUGUAUAGUCUCACAAAUGUCACUUUUUAUUUAUGCCACUACAAAAAAACAUGAUGUAAAUGAUGCAUGAUGUAAAACAUGAUGUAAAAAACUUGUGUAGAUCCUCCUCUAUGUCAGUCCAUGUGUAAUUUUUCCAUAAUUCUUUGUUUUUUGCAGCAUUUUUGUUAGUGUAACUGCAGAUUGUGCUGACAGUGUCUAUGGCAAAAAAAAAAAAAAAACUGAAAAUGCCUCAACAUGAACCCCUGGUGGUCUCUGAGGGUGAAACCUGCUAACUGCUGCAGCUCUGUCAGCUUUAGUCUCCCAUGCAGAGCUCGGAGCGCAUGUGUGGCUCUGCACCCUUAGCAGCGUUGCUAACUCCUCAGUAAGGAAAGCCUGCUUCAUGUCAGUCUCUAAACUCCAGAAGAAGUCGAUAAAAGUCCCUUUCUUUCUAAAAAAAAGUCGUUAGGGGGUCUGAAAAGUCAUUGAAUCUAACAACAAAGUCGCUAGGUUUGCAACUACGUGUCCCAGACUGCAUCCCUGCUGAGAGUUCCUCCCUCCCUUCUCAUGUUGCAGGAAGAACGUAAGCGCCCGCCCCUUGUCA